CUGUCUUCAAUAAUGGAAACAGGGCAAUCAUUGGCAGGAGUCUUUAUGAGGUAAGGAGCUGUGUUUUUUUUUCCCACCAAACCAGAAAGCUUGGCCAGACUUGGGGCUAAAGUCAUGCUAUAAGAAAAAACAUGAAGUUAAGUUCAUCUCUCGGUUCUGCGUGGACUGAGGGUGAACUUCCUGCUCCAAGAUGAAAAAAUUGUAUGACCUAAGGCUAUUCAGUGAAUCAGCUGAAGACGGCAGGUUAUCAAUGACUCAUAGGAGGGAGAUGAUAAGAAAGCUCCGGAGGUAAAUUAAUGUGGUAAUUAGUUAUGUGGAUAUCUGUAUUUUUAGGCUCUUUCUAAGUGCUAUUGUUCCACUGAAAACUCACGAUAAUUAUCAAUCGCCAUCUUAAAUAUGUGACAUUGACUAGUAUUACAGGGCAGAAAGUGAAGAGAGGAGAAGAUGGAUUGUAAAAAUUAAAACUGUUAGAUGUUCAUCUGUUUUUCAAUUAUCAAAAUGCCUGACAAGCUGAAAAAAGACAGAAUCUUCAUUUAGAGCUCUGCUAUGUUUAUUCUAUGUCUGCAUCUCUCUUCUUCAGUUAUUAGAAAAAAGC
rnacentral:lncRNA from 1 species